UUCAGUCUGUCACUAACAAGAGUGUCGUUGAUUUCUUCAACUGUAUCAUUGGGGAUUAUUGUAGGGUGGAAAAAAUUCUGCCCAAUGGUGAUGAACCUGAUUCUGAUGAUGAGGAUGACAAGUUUGAGGUUAAGAAGAAGAAAAGGGUUGCUAGGGAUGUUAACCUGAAAGACCUUAUCAAGGCUGAUCUUAAGAAAAAGCAAAAAGGCAAUGUUUAUGUUGAGAACAAACGCGUGUCAAAGGUUGAUGUUAAGAAAAGGCAAGAAGGCAACUUUCCUGUUGGGAAGAAACACGCAUCAAAGGCUGAUUCUAAGAAGAAGCGUAUGGGCAAGGAGGUUGGUGUUGUUCAUAAGAAACUUGUUACCAAGGUUGAUGCCAAGAGGAAAAGAACCGCUGCUAGUGGAGAUAAGGAGGUGAAAGGUGAUAAAGGUCAUCGUACGAAGAGGAAAAAAGUUGUAAAUUGUGAUUCAAGUGUUGGAUUGGGAAAGAAUAAUAUUGUCUUACCAUCUGCUGGCAUUUUUUGGUCUGAUGUGAAAGGUGAACCUGAGGUAAUUUUAUGUUUUCUGCAGUUAUUUUUUGUGUGUGUUUCUGUUUGUAAUUUAGAGUGUUUGUGUCUGUAACUAGUUAUCAGCUAUUAUAACUUGUUAUCCCCCUAGAUUUCUAAUGUCAUGUAUUUUUGCUUGUGUCCUUGUCAGGCUGUUGCCUUGUUGGAUACCAUGGUUGAAGCUCGGAAUAGUUGUACGAAUUUGAUAAAGGAUUAUGACGUGGCAGUGUCAGCUCUUGAAAAUUUCAUCAAGAAUUUGCAGGAUUUUGAAGAAGGUUCUAAAACUGUCAAGGUUCAUUUGCAGCAGGGCAGUGGAAGAGAAUGCUCCAGUAAGUUACUAUUUCCUUUCUGCCUUCUCUUUUUUUUUUCCCACUUGUUUCAUUUACACUCCUCCUAUACCAUGUUCUGAAUUCACACGAUCAAUUGCUGUAUUGAAUUCUUGCGUAGUUUUCUUCCAGAGAUUCUUUUCAUUCUGUCUGCAUGGUGAAUGAUUUUUUUUCUAUCCUGUUAAAGUAUGAUUCGUGUAAAAGAAGAAAUGUUCCCAAACACUCACUACAUUUCGUCUUGCAACUACCUUUCAUCCUGCUCUACCAUGGGUAACUAGGCAAAUGAUACCAUCUAGCGGCAGUAGAUAAAAAUCUUAUUCAUUCCUGCGACUGAUUUUAGAACUUUUUUGGUAAUCUGUUGCUAUUGUGCAGAUUAGCUCAGCUGUUGACUGCUAUUUAAAAUGCUACAUAUGUUAUUUUAAGCAUCCCUCUCAUUGAAGUCCAAUAGAGACCUAUGACCUUUGCGACUCUAGGCAAAAGUUGGAAAUUUUGUUUGCCAGAUGUGAUAAAUUUUCUGAAAAUUACGGCACGCAUCUUCAGAGGGUUAGUUUUAAAAUCUCUAACCAGGACUGAAUUUUACCCGAGUACUUUUAUAUAGCUUCCCUCAGGGCUGUACAGAUGUAAUCGGCUUAUAUAAAUUAGGAUAAAGAAAUAAUAAAAGCCGGCAGAAUUCUAUGAUUCAUGAUGCUGAUUCUUCCAAUAUGGCUCAAGUGUGCCUACAUUUCAUUUAUUGGAAACAAAAACUAUUAUGUGAUGGUGGAUAUUAGUUUUUUGGUUGCUUAUAUUUUGGGAUUCUGCAUUACUAAAUUGCUGUUGCUGUUUUCUGUCAUGGUAUUCAGUUUGCAAUAGAAUGUAAUUUUUUGGUGCGAAAUUGUAUUGUACUUCUUGUCAUGAAUCCUGACGUCAGAAAUAAGUGGCUUAAAGGGCAGCGUGCAUAUAUUCUUAUCUAAUUUUAGUGUCGAGAUCUUUGGUACUCUUAAUUAACUGUCAAAUAUUUUGUGUGAAUUGACUGCCGAAUUAAAUGUACCCUUACCAGAGCAAGGAGGAUGAAUUAGCACAGGUCCGCUUUCAGUUCUGAUGAUGAGUGUGAAAUAUAACACCCAGGUAUACUUUUGUUCUAAUACAGUCAUUGACUUUCGAAUUCCAGCAAAGCGACUGGGUGGCAAACAUCAGAUGUUCUGGCGGAAAUCUUGAAUUAAAUAUGAGGUUAAGCAUUUACAUGAGUUAAUUCUGACUGGUUUUGGGGCCUCAUUUAAGGUUCAAGAACUAUAACUGGUGCAAGUUUGUACUAGAAAAGUUUUAAGGAAAAUAUGGUCGAGAGUAAAGACUGCAGUUACAUGAAGGCUGAUUUCUACUUUCUCAUUGUAAGUGUGUGGGUUGCACUUUGUGUUUUAUUACUAGUUAUAUGAUAUUAUAUACAGUUAUCCAAUAUUAUAACUGGUUAUAAGUUAUAACUGUGUAUUAACUUCUGCCACCAACUUGUUUAUUUGUGUUUACAGGUUGCAUUUCUAUUGAAAGAAUCAAAGUUGGUGGGUGGAGAAUCAGUUCUUCAGUCUGUCACCAACAAGAGUGUCGUUGAUUUCUUCAACAGUAUCCAUUGGGGAUUAUUGUAGGGUGAAAAAAUUUCUGCCCAAUGGUGAUGAACCUGAUUCUGAUGAUGAGGAUGACAAGUUUGAGGUUAAGAAGAAGAAAAGGGUUGCUCAGGAUGUUAAUCUGAAAGACCUUAUCAAGGCUGAUCUUAAGAAAAAG
rnacentral:lncRNA from 1 species